CAAUAGCGUAUAUUAACUUUGUUGCAGUUAAAAAGCUCGUAGUUGAAUUUUAGGUUUGGAUGUGUCCUUGUCAUAUUUUGAUAUUGGAUUGUGUCUGUACCUUUAGCGAAUGGAAUUUUCGUGGCAUUAGGUUGUCGCGGAUUGGAUGUUUGCCGUUUACUGUGAAAAAAUUAGAGUGUUCAAAGCAGGCUUAUGCCUCGUGAAUAUAUUAGCAUGGAAUAAUGAGAUAGGACCUGUGUGCUAUUUUGUUGGUUUGCGCAUGUGGGUAAUGAUUAACAGGAACGGUUGGGGGUCUUCGUAUUCCAUUGUCAGAGGUGAAAUUCUUGGAUUUUUGGAAGACGAACUACUGCGAAAGCAUUGACCAAGGAUGUUUNCAUUA
rnacentral:rRNA from 1 species